rnacentral:rRNA from 1 species
GACGAACGCUGGCGGCGUGCCUAAUACAUGCAAGUCGAACGCUUUUUCUUUCACCGGAGCUUGCUCCACCGAAAGAAAAAGAGUGGCGAACGGGUGAGUAACACGUGGGUAACCUGCCCAUCAGAAGGGGAUAACACUUGGAAACAGGUGCUAAUACCGUAUAACACUAUUUUCCGCAUGGAAGAAAGUUGAAAGGCGCUUUUGCGUCACUGAUGGAUGGACCCGCGGUGCAUUAGCUAGUUGGUGAGGUAACGGCUCACCAAGGCAACGAUGCAUAGCCGACCUGAGAGGGUGAUCGGCCACACUGGGACUGAGACACGGCCCAGACUCCUACGGGAGGCAGCAGUAGGGAAUCUUCGGCAAUGGACGAAAGUCUGACCGAGCAACGCCGCGUGAGUGAAGAAGGUUUUCGGAUCGUAAAACUCUGUUGUUAGAGAAGAACAAGGAUGAGAGUAAA